UUACGGCCAGAUCACGUUGAAACACCGGUUCCCGCACGAUCACCGAAAUUAAGCGACGUCGAGUCUGGUCAAUAAAUGGAUGGGUAACCGUUUGGAAAUACCAGGUGCU